rnacentral:rRNA from 1 species
UACGUAGGGGGCAAGCGUUGUCCGGAAUCAUUGGGCGUAAAGAGCGUGUAGGCGGUUCGGUAAGUCGGCUGUGAAAGUCCAGGGCUCAACCCUGGGAUGCCGGUCGAUACUGCCGGACUAGAGUCCGGAAGAGGCAAGUGGAAUUCCCGGUGUAGCGGUGAAAUGCGCAGAUAUCAGGAAGAACACCAAUGGCGAAGGCAGCUCUCUGGGACGGUACUGACGCUGAGACGCGAAAGCGUGGGGAGCGAACAGG